rnacentral:rRNA from 1 species
UAGGGAAUCUUCGGCAAUGGACGAAAGUCUGACCGAGCAACGCCGCGUGAGUGAAGAAGGUUCUCGGAUCGUAAAACUCUGUUGUUAGAGAAGAACAAGGACGUUAGUAACUGAACGUCCCCUGACGGUAUCUAACCAGAAAGCCACGGCUAACUACGUGCCAGCAGCCGCGGUAAUACGUAGGUGGCAAGCGUUGUCCGGAUUUAUUGGGCGUAAAGCGAGCGCAGGCGGUUUCUUAAGUCUGAUGUGAAAGCCCCCGGCUCAACCGGGGAGGGUCAUUGGAAACUGGGAGACUGGGGUGCAGAAGAGGAGAGUGGAAUUCCAUGUGUAGCGGUGAAAUGCGUAGAUAUAUGGAGGAACACCAGUGGCGAAGGCGGCUCUCUGGUCUGUAACUGACGCUGAGGCUCGAAAGCGUGGGGAGCAAACAGG